rnacentral:sRNA from 1 species
CGCUAGCCCUGAUCGAAGUGGAAAUCCUUGUUGCCAGGGGUUCGGGCAACAAGAUUGUAAUGUAGAUCAGGAAUCCUA